UGGGCACGUAGCAUAAUGGAUAAUGCAACUGCCUUCUAAGCAGUCGAUUGCAGGUUCGAGUCCUGCCGUGCCUGU
rnacentral:tRNA from 1 species